ACUACUGGAAUGGUCUGGUACAAAUAUGUCCCCAAUCAGGAGCCUCAGAACUCCGGUCUAAUUUUACAGAGCAAACUAUCUGUGUGUGUAAGGAUUUGGCACCCUAAUAUCUUAUCACUUGAUGCUAUCAUACUUACAUGACGAGAGAAAGAACAAAAAAGGUAAGCAUAUUACCACUGAAGGCAGCUGAUGCAGUUGAGAAGAAAAAUAGGGAGAAGGUUAUCAUGCCUGAGAAGGAAUUGGGGGAAGGAAUUGAUUAAAUUCAUCAACUAACCGCUCCAUUGUCUGCAGCUGAUCAUACGGUGCAAUCUGCACCAUAAUACAGAAAUUCAAACUGACCAUCAAUUUCUGCCUAGACAACAUCACAUUAGGCCAAGUAGGCGAUUCAGCAAAUGGAUAUAUUGGUAGGUCAUGCAUGACUCCUUUUAUCUUAUUCGAGUAGGAGAUUGUUCAUACUUGGUCAAAGAAAAGAAACAAUAGAUAAAUACAGCAGCCAUUUGAAUUCUUUGUAGCUGCACUGGUCCAAAUAUGCAUGUGCUAAAAUCACCAGUCAUAAUCAGCCAAUUCAAAUAAUCUACUAUGACAACUAAAAUGAACAAAAAGAAGUCCUAGUCCAAAAUCAGCCAAUUCAAGUAUUCAAAAGAUCCUCUUUCAAACUUGACUGGUAUAUGCAAAUAUGAUGGAAGUUCACAAGCAUUACUGGUAUGGAUUCAGCGUGCUUUACACUAUAGUCAAAAGGAGUUAAAUUUUCAUGAUUCUCAUCAAGUUGACACAAUACCGUUGCCUUGUCACUCUGUCUAGUACCCCAGCAAUAAAAUGACCCCUGAUGCCAUUUUCUUUUAGUAAUUCUUAUAUGAAUUGAAUCAAACAAAACAUGUUUUAC
rnacentral:lncRNA from 1 species